GGAGGGGUGACCGAGCGGUUUAUGGUGGCGGUCUUGAAAACCGUUGUCUCGAGUUUCGGGACCGUGGGUUCGAAUCCCACCCCCUCCG
rnacentral:tRNA from 1 species